rfam:Nicotiana sylvestris Nsyl_contig201677, whole genome shotgun sequence.
AGUCUUAUUUGAUAGCCAAGGAUGACUUGCCUAGACCAUUUUCAAGGGCUUAUUUAAUUAGCUUAGAUAAAAAAAAAAGAGACCGAGAGAUAUAAUCCCUUUUUGCAUGGGUUGCAGGCAAGUCAUCUUUGGCUAUGUGAUAUGCUCU